AUGCACACCUAUGCCACAUCUUCACAUCAGAAUCAAAACAAAAGGAAGCUAUGGUGUUACUUGCAUCUCGGUUUUCACAUUCUUCCCAGGUUUUACAAAAACAUAAACAUGAUUGGAUGGGCGUCCUUGCCGGCGACCUUGCUAUCUCCAACCCAUCCACAGGUUGCUUGGUGUCCUCUCAUCGUGUCUAUUGGUGCAGUAUCACAUAUCCUCUCUCGAAGAGAUGAGAUAAGGAUUACAUGGCUACCAACAACCCACCUCACCUAUAAUGGAAGACAUCCUGAUUCAUUGUUGCAAGCUAGAGAACAAUAA
rnacentral:rRNA from 1 species